rnacentral:rRNA from 1 species
UACGUAGGGUCCGAGCGUUUGUCCGGAAUUACUGGGCGUAAAGAGCUCGUAGGUGGUUUGUCGCGUUGUUCGUGAAAAACUCACAGCUCAACUGUGGGCGUGCGGGCGAUACGGGCAGACUUGAGUACUGCAGGGGAGACUGGAAUUCCUGGUGUAGCGGUGGAAUGCGCAGAUAUCAGGAGGAACACCGGUGGCGAAGGCGGGUCUCUGGGCAUGUCCUGACGCUGAGGAGCGAAAGUGUGGGGAGCGAACAGG